rnacentral:rRNA from 1 species
UACGGAGGGGGCUAGCGUUGUUCGGAAUUACUGGGCGUAAAGCGCACGUAGGCGGACUGUUAAGUCGGGGGUGAAAUCCUGGGGCUCAACCUCAGAAUUGCCUCCGAUACUGGCAGUCUCGAGUGCGGGAGAGGUGAGUGGAAUUCCCAGUGUAGAGGUGAAAUUCGUAGAUAUUGGGAAGAACCCCAGUGGCGAAGGCGGCUCACUGGCCCGUAACUGACGCUGAGGUGCGAAAGCGUGGGGAGCAAACAGG